rnacentral:rRNA from 1 species
GGGUUGUGAGGUUAAGCGACUAAGCGUACACGGUGGAUGCCUAGGCAGUCAGAGGCGAUGAAGGGCGUGCUAAUCUGCGAAAAGCGUCGGUAAGGUGAUAUGAACCGUUAUAACCGACGAUACCCGAAUGGGGAAACCCAGUGCAAUUCGUUGCACUAUUGCAUGGUGAAUACAUAGCCAUGCAAGGCGAACCGGGGGAACUGAAACAUCUAAGUACCCCGAGGAAAAGAAAUCAACCGAGAUUCCCCCAGUAGCGGCGAGCGAACGGGGAGGAGCCCAGAGUCUGAAUCAGUUUGUGUGUUAGUGGAAGCGUCUGGAAAGUCGCAGGGUACAGGGUGAUACUCCCGUACACAAAAACACACUUGCUGUGAACUCGAUGAGUAGGGCGGGACACGUGACAUCCUGUCUGAAUAUGGGGGGACCAUCCUCCAAGGCUAAAUACUCCUGACUGACCGAUAGUGAACCAGUACCGUGAGGGAAAGGCGAAAAGAACCCCGGCGAGGGGAGUGAAAUAGAACCUGAAACCGUGUACGUACAAGCAGUGGGAGCCUACUUUGUUGGGUGACUGCGUACCUUUUGUAUAAUGGGUCAGCGACUUAUAUUUUGUAGCAAGGUUAACCGAAUAGGGGAGCCGUAGGGAAACCGAGUCUUAACUGGGCGUCUAGUUGCAAGGUAUAGACCCGAAACCCGGUGAUCUAGCCAUGGGCAGGUUGAAGGUUGGGUAACACUAACUGGAGGACCGAACCGACUAAUGUUGAAAAAUUAGCGGAUGACUUGUGGCUGGGGGUGAAAGGCCAAUCAAACCGGGAGAUAGCUGGUUCUCCCCGAAAGCUAUUUAGGUAGCGCCUCGUGAACUCAUCUUCGGGGGUAGAGCACUGUUUCGGCUAGGGGGCCAUCCCGGCUUACCAAACCGAUGCAAACUCCGAAUACCGAAGAAUGUUAUCACGGGAGACACACGGCGGGUGCUAACGUCCGUCGUGAAGAGGGAAACAACCCAGACCGCCAGCUAAGGUCCCAAAGUCAUGGUUAAGUGGGAAACGAUGUGGGAAGGCAUAGACAGCCAGGAUGUUGGCUUAGAAGCAGCCAUCAUUUAAAGAAAGCGUAAUAGCUCACUGGUCGAGUCGGCCUGCGCGGAAGAUGUAACGGGGCUAAACCAUGCACCGAAGCUGCGGCAGCGACGCUUAGGCGUUGUUGGGUAGGGGAGCGUUCUGUAAGCCGUUGAAGGUGACCUGUGAGGGUUGCUGGAGGUAUCAGAAGUGCGAAUGCUGACAUAAGUAACGAUAAUGCGGGUGAAAAACCCGCACGCCGGAAGACCAAGGGUUCCUGUCCAACGUUAAUCGGGGCAGGGUGAGUCGACCCCUAAGGCGAGGCUGAAAAGCGUAGUCGAUGGGAAACAGGUUAAUAUUCCUGUACUUGGUGUUACUGCGAAGGGGGGACGGAGAAGGCUAGGCUAGCCGGGCGACGGUUGUCCCGGUUUAAGCAUGUAGGCGGAGCGACUUGGUAAAUCCGGUUGCUUAUCAACGCUGAGGUGUGAUGACGAGUCACUACGGUGAUGAAGUAGUUGAUGCCAAGCUUCCAGGAAAAGCCUCUAAGCAUCAGGUAACAUUAAAUCGUACCCCAAACCGACACAGGUGGUCAGGUAGAGAAUACUCAGGCGCUUGAGAGAACUCGGGUGAAGGAACUAGGCAAAAUGGUGCCGUAACUUCGGGAGAAGGCACGCUGGCAUUAGGUAAAGGGACUUGCUCCCGGAGCUGAAGCCAGUCGCAGAUACCAGCUGGCUGCAACUGUUUAAUAAAAACACAGCACUGUGCAAACACGAAAGUGGACGUAUACGGUGUGACGCCUGCCCGGUGCUGGAAGGUUAAUUGAUGGGGUCAGCCGCAAGGCGAAGCUCUUGAUCGAAGCCCCAGUAAACGGCGGCCGUAACUAUAACGGUCCUAAGGUAGCGAAAUUCCUUGUCGGGUAAGUUCCGACCUGCACGAAUGGCGUAAUGAUGGCCAGGCUGUCUCCACCCGAGACUCAGUGAAAUUGAACUCGCUGUGAAGAUGCAGUGUACCCGCGGCAAGACGGAAAGACCCCGUGAACCUUUACUAUAGCUUGACACUGAACAUUGAGCCUUGAUGUGUAGGAUAGGUGGGAGGCAUUGAAGUGUGGACGCCAGUCUGCAUGGAGCCAACCUUGAAAUACCACCCUUUAAUGUUUGAUGUUCUAACUCGGCCCCGUGAUCCGGGGUGAGGACAGUGUCUGGUGGGUAGUUUGACUGGGGCGGUCUCCUCCCAAAGAGUAACGGAGGAGCACGAAGGUUAGCUAAUCACGGUCGGACAUCGUGAGGUUAGUGCAAAGGCAUAAGCUAGCUUGACUGCGAGAGUGACGGCUCGAGCAGGUACGAAAGUAGGUCUUAGUGAUCCGGUGGUUCUGAAUGGAAGGGCCAUCGCUCAACGGAUAAAAGGUACUCCGGGGAUAACAGGCUGAUACCGCCCAAGAGUUCAUAUCGACGGCGGUGUUUGGCACCUCGAUGUCGGCUCAUCACAUCCUGGGGCUGAAGUAGGUCCCAAGGGUAUGGCUGUUCGCCAUUUAAAGUGGUACGCGAGCUGGGUUUAGAACGUCGUGAGACAGUUCGGUCCCUAUCUGCCGUGGGCGUUGGAAGAUUGAGAGGGGCUGCUCCUAGUACGAGAGGACCGGAGUGGACGAAUCACUGGUGUUCGGGUUGUCAUGCCAAUGGCAUUGCCCGGUAGCUAAAUUCGGAAGAGAUAACCGCUGAAAGCAUCUAAGCGGGAAACUUGCCUCGAGAUGAGUCUUCCCUGGGGCUUUAAGCCCCCUGAAGGAACGUUAAAGACUAUGACGUUGAUAGGCUGGGUGUGUAAGUGCAGCGAUGCAUUGAGCUAACCAGUACUAAUGAUCCGUGAGGCUUAACCUUACAACACCGAAGGUGUUUUGUA